UUUGUAAACAAUAUAAAGUGAAACCUGCCCAAUGGUUUUAAAAUCAAUAAAUCUAAAGAUUUAUAAAAAGACUAAAAGGACGCAGUAUCUUGACUGUGAUAAUGUAGCAUAAUCAUUCGCCAUUUAAUUGAUGGAUAGUAUGAAAGGUCAAACGAAUUCUUCAUUGUCUUAAAAAAAGAAUUCAUGAAAUUAAAAUAAUAGUUAAGAUCCUAUUUAAAAUUGUAAGACGAAAAGACCCUAUAGAGCUUAACUACGUUCUUCUAUAAAAAUAAAUAAUUUAAUCAUUUAAGAGAAAGGCAGGUAGUUUAGUUGGGGCGACUAUCUUUUAAAAAUAACAAAGAUAAGCAAAAUUAAUAAAUAAUUUAUUGUAUAAUUCAUAUAUUUAACAAUUAUUAAAGUAGGCUAUAAUGACCCGUUCUAUUUAAGUAAGAAAUAUAACGAUUAAUAAAUAAAAGCUACCUUAGGGAUAACAGGAUAAUUUUGUUCUAGAGAUCUUAUCGAAGACAAAGUUUGUCACCUCUAUGUUGAAUUAAGAUAUCCUAAUAAUGCAGAAGUUAUUAAAGGUAGGUCUGUUCGACCUUUAAAAU
rnacentral:rRNA from 1 species